rnacentral:lncRNA from 1 species
AUGCAGCAUGCAGGAGGAAAUCCAGAAAGAAGCCAAAGGCAUCAGGAGAGCUCGCCCCAGCAAGAAGGAUCUUCUGUGGGCAGAAGUCCAGAUCAUCAGGCAAAAUUGGUAAGACUGAGCAUGGCAUUGAUUAGUUGCCCUUGGCACUCCUUCAUCGCAUACCUAGAGUUGGAAAUAUGGUGAUUCUAACUUGUUUCAAUUAAUAAUCAU